GUUAUCCGGAUUCACUGGGGUUAAAGGGUGCGUAGGUGGGUUGGUAAGUCAGUGGUGAAAUCUCCAGGCUUAACUUGGAAACUGCCAUUGAUACUAUCAAUCUUGAAUACCGUGGAGGUCAGCGGAAUAUGUCAUGUAGCGGUGAAAUGCUUAGAUAUGACAUAGAACACCAAUUGCGAAGGCAGCUGGCUACACGAAUAUUGACACUGAUGCACGAAAGCGUGGGGAUCAAACAGG
rnacentral:rRNA from 1 species